UAAAAAUGGCAAGACAAAAGAAGCGUCGAUUUGAAAAGAUUAAAACUGGUUCCUUUCAAAAUAGACGCUUCUUUUGUCUUGCCAUUUUUACA
rnacentral:pre_miRNA from 1 species